UACAGAGGGUGCAAGCGUUGUUCGGAAUUACUGGGCGUAAAGGGCUCGUAGGCGGCCAACUAAGUCAGACGUGAAAUCCCUCGGCUUAACCGGGGAACUGCAUCUGAUACUGGAUGGCUUGAGUUCGGGAGAGGGAUGCGGAAUUCCAGGUGUAGCGGUGAAAUGCGUAGAUAUCUGGAGGAACACCGGUGGCGAAGGCGGCAUCCUGGACCAACACUGACGCUGAGGGAGCGAAAGCCAGGGGAGCAAACGGG
rnacentral:rRNA from 1 species